rnacentral:rRNA from 1 species
UACGUAGGGGGCGAGCGUUGUCCGGAAUUACUGGGCGUAAAGCGUGCGCAGGCGGUUCGCUAAGACAGGUGUGAAAUCCCCGGGCUUAACCUGGGAAUGGCGCUUGUGACUGGCGGGCUGGAGUACGGCAGAGGGAGGUGGAAUUCCACGUGUAGCAGUGAAAUGCGUAGAGAUGUGGAGGAACACCGAUGGCGAAGGCAGCCUCCUGGGCCAGUACUGACGCUCAUGCACGAAAGCGUGGGGAGCAAACAGG